UAAAUAAAACAACAUACCUAAUAAUCUUUAAAGCUCAUUAUUCAUUUUUAAAGCCAUGUGUUUCACAAAAUGAAAUGUUUACUUCGUCUUUUACAAUGCAAGAUAUUAAGUAAUACGCCCGAACUAAAUAUCUCGUGGAAGAGCCGUAGCCAAGGACUCUGAUGGAGAGGACUAGAUGAAUUGAAUUUAAUAGUGAUCGGUGCGAUGUCCUGCUUGUAAAUAAAAAACGUUCCGAUGGAAUAACUUGAAUCAACAAAAGGUUUUACUAACCAGAGAUUUUAAUGAAGACUCGAAUUUCAUUGAAGAUGUUGCAAACUGAAACUUCUAACGCGACUUCCAAGCAAGGUUGCGUUAAACGUUUAACGCUACCAUGGAAUAGAAAGAGACAGAGCGAGAGUGAAUGCGUGGCACUCGAACGCAUCCGCAUAGCACACCUGCUACAGGCCAGCGCGAGCGUUAGCAACGAGUAGCGUCCAAUAUGUUAAGGAAGUAUUUAAAAAAAAUAUAGUACAUAUGUAUUAUAUAUUUAUAUAAAAUUAAUUUUGAAGAUUUCGCAUCUUUUGUACACAGCAUGCCCUAUUACAAGAGCAAUCUCAUUUAAGGAUGAAAAAUGAAGAAAACCACAAUAAUACACAUCGAAAAAGAAGUUUCACUUCAUUCACGCGCGCGGGUUCAACGGCCUUGCGUGAACGCGGGGGGCGCUGCCAGCUUCCUCUCUAUAUUUACGAUAAAAGCAAGUCACCAACAGUCGUCCCGCAGCAAGCCAGCAUCGCAGCCUCAACAGGACCAUCGCAGCCGACUCACCGCGCUUCCUGGCCCUACGGCACGCACCUACACUGCCUCAUCGCGCAGCAUUCAAGCUCAGUCUCGACUCACCGCAGACUUCGAGCAGCACUGGCGACAAUCACGCAGCAUUCAAGCUCAGUUGCGACUCACCGCAAACUUCGAGCAGCACUGGCACUUGCAAGCUAAUCUCAGCACGGACAACGAUAACUAAAAUGACACGACCUCCAGUCUCGGAGGGGAGUGAUGUGGCGGGUAGCCAUCAUACAACGCAAGAUAAUUGACAGAUGCCUGAAUCUCGCUUACGACAUUUCCAAGAUAAAGUGCAUAUAUACAAGUUCCGACCAACAACAUUCGGACCGUCGGUCUACCGAGCAAAUCUCACCCGCUCGGUGGAAGAUCUUUCCUUUCGUCGUAUAUUCCUACAUCGUGUUUCUUCUAACAGCUGUGUGUACAAAAUAUAUUAAAUAAAUAAAUAUAAUAGAAGAAUCUUCGAUCCUCCACCAAUGAAA